ensembl:lncRNA
GAAAAUGAUAUCUUUAUAUAAGCAAGCACACUUUGCAGCUGCAUUCAUUUAUUUUAUUGUAUUGUGUAACCAUUUCUUAAAGCAACAUGAAAUGUUUUCAACAAUGGCUUUUUUAGUGUACCAGUGAAUAUUUAUUUUCUAGCCUACAAUAUUACAAAAAUUUAGUUUACAUAAAGAUGAGCAUAUACUGAUUUGAUGGGGGAAGCUGUUUUCACAUUGUAAACGGUGCCCCUGGGCACCAUACAGUACCUCCAUCAAGUUCUAAUUUAUGUUGAAUUCAUUGAAUUUUAUCAAUUCCAAACACUGGAUUUGCAUGUUUUCCAAAAGACAAAUUCUUAUUAUAGGACUACAAAAAAUAUUUGUGUGAUGUUCUGUUAAGACCGAGCUAUUAGAAUUCUUUUCUUUUUUUUUUUUUUUUUCCUUUUUAUUUACCUGUGUCCAUCAGAAGUUCCAACAGCUUUCCCUGGCAAAGCCCGAUGAAGUUACCUGUAUAUAAGGAAUAGAGCUGUUCCACAAAAGGGACUGCAAUGGUCAUUUUAGUAAUUACAGUGUCUCUGUCAUCUAACUGCUGACUGCAGUCAUAUAAAGUGCUCUUUUAUUUGCCAAAUGGGUAAAGGACAAACUGUGUAUUCCAACUUUGAUUAGCAGAGGCAAAUGAUAACUUUCUGUUAAGUAGAAAUGAAUAGCUGCACCUAUUGUUAGCUUUUGUUUUAACAAUAUUUAUUUAUGAUACAAGACACACAAAAAAUGAUGAGCUUGAUGGUAUCAAUUUAUGAGUAUACCUCAGCUAAUCACCUUGAAAAAAAAAAAGCACAGCAGGCUAUCAGUAAUGGCCAUAGAUUCAGCUCUUGUACUAUGUCCAAAUAUGUCUAGAAAUAGCAAUUAUAAUUUUAAAUGCAAAUGUAAGCAAUACCCCUGCUUUAAGAAAACCCAAUAUUUGGAAAAACUGGAUUUACAGGAAAGAUGAAUUAGUGAUGGUGGAUAAGGGUGUGUGUGUGUGUGUGUGUGUGUGUGUGUGUGUGGUAGGAUUGGGGGGAAUAUUGGGAAUGAUUUAUUUUGACUUUCUUUCAUCGAUCCACCACCCUUAUGCAUUAGGAUUAUUUAGGGAAAUUGAGUAGACAACCUUUAUGCAUAAUGCUGACUCAAUCCCUUCCCUCUUCCGUGAUUAACAAAAUCAGAACCUGACCCUUGAUUUACAUUUACAUGUAGUUCUUGCUUUAUGUGAAUUAUUGUUUUCAAAUAUAGGUCAUGUCAAGAGAACUCCCAAACUGUGCAUCCUUUCUAAACAAACUAUUUCACUCAUAGAAAUUGCAUCGGUCAGUCAUUGCUUUGUGCCAUUUCCAAGAAAGAACGCAGACUGGCAGCAGCUGCUCACAAUGUGACCAAAAGCAAUAUGUUCCUGAGAAAACAUUUCAACAUGCAAGUCUUUUAUAUACUUUGACGCAAACUGUAGCAACUUGGAUGUCCAAUAGAUGUUCUUAAGUUUUUAAAGAUGAUUUAAAAAUUUUCAACUUAAUGUACUGUACUUUUGUAUAAGUUUAUGUGAGAAAUCUUUUUGUAAAUAUGUUAAGAAGCUGAGUCCAAGGGUGAACAACACAUUAAUCCAGAAUAUCAUUUUUCCCUGGGUGCCCUGUGCUAAUCAUUUUGAACUAAAAAGCUGAUUUGAUGGCUUGGAAUCACUUCAGCUACCCAAUCAGUAAGACCAUUUAAUUACCUGAUUAUUUGCA